UACACACACACACACACAUACACACACUAAAUAGCAAAAAUAACAAAACAAAAAACCCUAAACACAAAAGGUAGACAUAAUAUUUCUAGUUAUAUACAAAUAUCUAUUAUCAUAUAUAAGAAUCACCCCCCAGUGUGUGUGCGUGCACAUAUGUGCAUAUGUGUGCAAUACAUUAUUCAAGUUAUAUAAAAUGAAUCUUUGUUUCUUGUGUCUUUUUUCCUGGAGUAGGAUAACCUAAGUAGAAAGACCUGGUGUUAGGUGUCUGUAACCCCAGCACUUAGGAAGCCACGGCAGGAGGAUUUCUAUGAGGCUAAAGGCACCCAGCUGGUUCAGGGAACAUCAGGUCAUCCAGGGCUGGACAGCAAGAUUGUAUUUCAAGCAAAUUAAAACAAAAUGAAAUGGAAGACAAAGGAAAAUGGGACCCAGAAUGACAGACACCAAAGUGGCCAGUGAACAACCAGCUAAAAAGCCACUGUCUUGUUAAGGGGACUGCUGUGAAGAUGCAGUGGAAGAAUAACUGACAGUCUCAUGACAAACAUCUGCCUCAGAGUGAGAACCCUGCCACCAGACUUCACUCUUGCUAGCCAGCUUGCUUUUGGUCAUGGAGUUUCAUCACAGAGAGAGUAACCCUGACGAGGACCAAAGGUUAAAGACACAUUAAGUCACAGAGCUUCAGGUGCCUGUAGCUAUGUUUUUGCAGGAGUCUAAUACGAGCUAAGUUGUUACCUGAACAUGGAAGAUGUCAUUAAGAAGACAGUGGAACUUCUCAUCCAACAGCGUCUUGACUCUAUUUUGAAGAUUGGUCUGUCGUUCUUUGUAAUGUUUACAAGUGUCCAGACCUAGUACAUUAGCCAUGAGUAUCUGGAUAGUAUAAAAAUUUUGAUGGAAGCUGAUCUUAGUCAGUGCAAUAGCAACAGCCCUGUUCAUAAGACAACGGAGAAUCAGGAGACCAUUUUAAGUACAGUUCCUGGAGCUAACAAAGGCUGGGAGAAAGUUCUGAGUUCUCACACCCAGCUACAAGGACAGAGAUUAAUCGAGCUGUCUGGAAGCUGUUCUUCAGUCCUGCUCCCGGGAACCCAACCCCUCUCCAUCAUUACGCUGUAUUAACCUGGCUGUCUUCUCCAUCAUUACGCUGUAUUAACCUGGCUGUCUUCUCCAUCAUUACGCUGUAUUAACCUGGCUGUCUUCUCCAUCAUUACGCUGUAUUAACCUGGCUGUCUUUUCCUUCCUGGUUUUGCUGUUGCUGCCCUGUACCCAGGCCAGAGCCUUAGACUCAGACCUGUGCUGCCACAACAACAUGCUAUGUCCAGUGCCUGCUGUAGGUGAUCAUCUGACGGCAGCCUCUGCAAGAGACCUCAGUGAUUUAGUGAGGCCCAGAUGUGGGGGCCUGGGGGUGUGGUUCCGUGGUAGAGCCUUUGCCUGGCAUGUGUGAACUUUAGAAUUUGCCCCCUAGUAUUACCCAAAGCCAAGCCAAGCCUGAACAACAACAACAACAACGAAUCUUGCAGUGUUUUCUUGCUUAAUGCUUUCCAGGGUUCCCAUGGCCUAUUUUGUGUGACACUGUUGUCAUGAUCUCGGUACUCAUUACUGUACAUUCAAACCCUUCAGAGUGGCAGGCAGCUCAUCUCAUGUGUGAUACUUCUUGUGAGAAGACAGAAAAUAGUAUGAGAUAUUUACACUAGCUCUGCCCUCUGGAUUGACAAUCUAACCGCCCAGCAUUCCUUAGCCCCACUCUCCAAACUAAAGGGCUUAAAACAGCAAUUCCCUGUUUAACAUAAUUAACAAUAUCAUAAUUAACAUAAUUAGCAAUCCCCCAAAUAAACCUGAGGGUCUAGUCCCCAGACAGAUACCAACCUUGAGCUCUGACGGAUGUCUCAACCUAACUACACGUCGGUUGUUAAGCAGGAAGCUUUAAAGUCUUCAAGCUUGCCCUCAUAUUAAAUUGGGGUUUGCAGAAAUCGGUGCCAUUUCUCUUUCUCAUAGUUUGAACAGCUUUAUCACUAAGUACCCCUUCAGCUACAAGGCUCUGGUUCCCCAACAACUGUACUUAGCUAGUUCGUUCAUAUAAGGCAUGUUACAUAAGGGAGAAGACAUAAAUAAAUGCAACUCUUUCAAGGGUGCCAGUGUUUUCUGAGGUCACAAGAGCCAUGAUUUCAAGACACUCACCUGUGGUUCUCAUGCUGAGAGGCCAGAUAUUCGAUUUCCAUGAGUACCUGGCUUUUUCCAUAUCCUGGUAAUCCUUCAUACAUUAGAACUCGGCUGCAGUUCGUCAUCAAAAAGUCCUUCAUAGUAGACAUGAAAUAGUCGAUCUCCCUAACACGUCCUGUUGUUUUGUUUAUUGUUUAAAGGAACAAACCCAUCAACAAAAAAAUAGUUUAGAAAGAUAUUUUAAAAGGCAUGCAGUGAUACCCCUCCUAAGAGUGUCUUUGGAAUUUCCAUGGCAUUGUGCAUGGGGCUUCAUCCCUUUGUGUUUUUGUUCUUGGUCUCUUGUGGCUGAGGCUGACUGGUCUCAAAGAUGCUGUGUUGCUAAGGAUGACCUUGAACCUCUGUACCUCCUGCUUCCACCUCCCAAGUGCUAGGACGAUAGCAGGAGCAGCUGUGCGCAACUCUUUCAUGAGGCGUCUUAAAGCUCUGUGUAUUUUUAUAAUGUUUCAAAUCUUUUUGUUGUUGUUGUUUUUAAGCUUUAGUAAGCAAGGUAGCCGCUGUGCGCAACUCGUUCAUGAGGCUUCUUAAAGCUCUGUGUAUUUUUACAAUGUUUCUAAUCUUUUUGUUGUUGUUGUUUUUAAGCUUUAGUAAGCAAGGUGAUUUUUGAAAGUUUAUUUCUGCAAGCUGUGAUGGAAAGUUGUUUUGUUGUGGUCCUUACUCUGGCCCCAUCAGGCCGGGGAUGGAACCCAGAACCUCUGGAAUGCUAGCCAAAUGCUUUACCACUGAAAUCUACCUCUGCUCUCAAGGGGAAGUAUUUGUCAGCUCAUUACAAUUCCAUGUAAUUAUACUGCACAAAACUCGACAUUUGCAUAGAUUAUACAACUAGGAAUUGAACCAAGGAUCGCUAACCUUAAAAUAGAUGUUAUUUUUCUGUUUUCUUUAGCAGACUAGAUUAUACAACUAACACAUGCUCACUGUAGAAAAUAUGGAAAACGUAGGAGGAAAAAAGAACAAUAUAAAAAAAACGUUCUGGUUGACAACCCUAUCACUUUUUUUCCUUCAAUGCCUUAAAAUGUAUGCAGUAGGAGGCCCAGGCUGAAAUCUGAUACUCAGCCCACAAUCUCCUGGAACCUGGGUGAGCAUGAAGGGCCUGCAAGUACUGGGCUUUUGCAGCAAUGGGCAACUUCUGUAAAAAGAAGUGUGGGCCCAUUUGGAUCAUUUCUAGUUUCUUUGCUGGACAGAUGAAUCCCGGAGCCACAUUUUGUUAUCUGUGGGUAGAGUGCCUCAUGUUCAGGUGUCAUCUAAUGGCUUGGCUGAAAUUGGAUGAUGGUUACAGGUAGAAGUGUCCUAGAAAAAGAAGGUAUGUAUCUUGCCUGGCGAUGGGAGGUUCUGGGUUUGGUUUAUUAGAAAUCACCCUGCAGGCUCUAUUUACCCUCUGGAAGGAAAAGUAUCCUUUGUAAAGAUGCACCUGAACUUCAGUGUUGCGAGCCAUCUCCUGAGAACCCUAGGCUCACGUAGAAGAUGGGAGUCUAAGCGCUAUGUAAUAAAAUCUUCUAGCUUCUCUCGUCUGGUUAUACAGAAUGCAUAUACUGGAUUCUAAAAUGAGUUUUUAAGUCACCUUAUCUUCAAGUCUAUGCAAACCAAGCCCUAGCUGGACAUGUUCCUGCGUUCUUGUGAUUCCAGCACUUGGGAUCAGAUAGCAGGAGAUUUAGAAGCUCAAGAAAUAGCCUUGGCUACAUAGCAAGUUCAAGGCCAGCCUGGGCAACAUGAGACUGUCUUUGAAAAAAAAAAAAAAAAAAACAACAAAAACGAUUUUUUAAAAAUCCUACUACUACGACGACUUUUUUUUAACCCUAGAAUUUUUCCAGGUAAUUUUUGUUGCCCUUUAUCAUAAUUUUGGGGAUAGGAACUCUUGUCAAGAAGAACGUUUCCCUCAAGGCUGAUCUACAAUCCUUGUCUACAGCUUUAAGGGAAAGUAUGUGAACUUGACUUUUGUCCAGCGCUGUGUGUGGAAUAUGACCUAAAGAGACUGAUUCAUCAGCUGGAUCAAACCGAGGAAGGUCUGCCUAUUUUCCUGUGCUCUCUAAGGUGACUGACAGUCUAGAACUCCGGCUACUUUGAGUCAGCACUGAGAGCACUUCUUGGGGGUGGGAAACAAGGCUUUGGGGGAAGGGGAGGUGGCUACUCUCCCUCCUCCAUGGCUUUAUGCGUGGGAGUCUUGGCUUACCGGGUGUAAUUGCUGCAAGCCUGUGUUUCUGUGGGGUGUUUGUGUUGGCCCGAAUGCUUUGUUGUACAGCUUAGGAACGACUGGCCUCCCUCCCUCAGGCUUUGCAGACAUUAAGAUUCCGGCCUCUCGCUGCGGCCCUCUAAUGCGAUACCUCAUGUGGUGACCCACCCCACACCAUCCAUAAAAAAUGACUUUCCUUGCUACUUCAUAACUGCAAUUUUGCCACUGUUAUGAAUCAUAAUGUAAAAUAUUUUUGGAGACAGAGGUUUACUGAAGGGGUGAAGAUCCAUAAAUUGAGAACCAUAGCGCCAAAGGAAGGACAGACUCUCAUUUUCUUAAUGACCUCUGGCACCGUCGUGGCUAGGACUUAACUUUCAAUACAUCUUCUAGGGAUGUUAAAUCUAAUAGAGGGGAAGAGCAAGAACUACUGAGAAUAUCCGUCUUCAGGAUCGAUAGCCAGGCUAGGUUGGGUCUCUUCCCCAAAUACACUGUUGCCUUUUUAGAUUUACUUCCUUUCCAAGGUGAAUUAGCUUUGAGAGGGCCCCUGCCACCAAAUCCCAAUUGCAUCACUUCUACAUAGAUUGUAAGUGAAAGCCUUUGUGGGUCUUGGUGGGUGACAGAGGAUUGAACCUUGUGCACGUUAAGCACGCACUCUCCCACUGAACCACACCCCUAAGCCCUUAUACACUUAAACAUAAAAGGUAAAACAGAAUUUCUGGAACAAAAGCUAGGAAAUACUUCUCCAAACAUAUGGAUGAGGAAAGAUUUGUUAAAUAGCACACAGAGAAAUGCGGGUUUAAGACAAACAAACAAACAGACAAACAAACAAACAAAGAGAAAUUGAAUUACAUUGCAGUUAAGAAUUCUGCUCAUUAAAUAAAUGCCUUAACAAACAGUUGAAAAUGGACUGAUAGAUAAUUAGCAAGGACUCUGUACAUAGAUGGCAUACCAAUUUGUGAAGGGUUCCUUGUUUAAGGAGAAAGAGAAACCCACUGUUGUGGCACAGGCCACCUGUACUCCAGAGGUAGAAACAGAGGGUCAUGAGUUCAAGGUUGUCUCAGACAGGUAGCUAAUUUAAAGCCAUCUUGGACCUUAAUUGUAUGGAUUUUUAUCCCAUCAGCAGUGACCACCCCAACAAAAAUACAAGCCAGUCCCUGCCUUGAAGAGGAAAAAAAUCCUAACUCAGGGGAAAAAAAUAGAAAGAGAAAUUUGUGUAAUCGUUUUAUUGAAAAGAUGGAUCAAAUAGCCCAAAAUAGACCUCAGCCACAUCUGAGCAAUGAUAGAUGGAAACAAGAAGAAGGGGCCACUGCAUACUCCACAUGAGCUUAAGUCGUAAAGACUAACAAAAGUGACUGCUGGCAAAGAUUAAGGGCGAUGGCAUCAUUUACCAAAAUUAUUUCCUUUGUUCUGACAAUAUCACUCAUGUAUACAGAUAUGCACAUAUGUGUACCUUUACAUACAUACUAAACUAACAAUGCAUAUGCAUGCUUUUUUUAUCUUCUUUGAUUAUUGUGGAGGUGGUGGUGGUGGUGGUUUGAUGGUGUCCUGCACUGUGGCAAUCUUCUUGCCUAGGCCUCCUGAAAGCUGGUAUUACAGAGCUUGCACUAGCCUACUCCUCUUCUCUUAGAAAAUGUUUAUUAAAAAGACAUAAGAAUGCUUAUGGCAACACUGUCUGUAAGAACCUACAGAUAACCCAAACCUUAGAUACCAGGAAAAAAUAACUGGUGCAUUUGUAAAAUGGCAUGCAGGAGUGUAACAAUCAAGAGUGAUUAUAGAGGGCUGGCGAGAUGGCUCAGUGGGUAAGAGCACUGACUACUCUUCCGAAGGUCCUGAGUUCAAAUCCCAGCAACCGCAGGGUGGCUCACAACCACCCGUAAUGAGAUCUUUUGGUGUGUCUGAAGACAGCUACAGUGUACCUAUGUAUAAUAGUAAAUAAAUCUUUGGGCCAGAGUGAGCAGGGGCUGAGCAAGCUACAGUGUACUCACAUACGUAAAAUAAAUAAAUUUAAAAAAAAAAAGAGUGAUUAUAGAGGCAGACAACAACUCGGAUGGAUAGAUGUCAGAACACACGAGUGAAUAAAAGAAGGUGUACAGA